GGAAUCAUUGGGUUUAAAGGGUCCGUAGGCGGUUUAGUAAGUCAGUGGUGAAAGCCCAUCGCUCAACGGUGGAACGGCCAUUGAUACUGCUAAACUUGAAUUAUUAGGAAGUAACUAGAAUAUGUAGUGUAGCGGUGAAAUGCUUAGAGAUUACAUGGAAUACCAAUUGCGAAGGCAGGUUACUACUAAUUGAUUGACGCUGAUGGACGAAAGCGUGGGUAGCGAACAGGAUUAGAUACCCUGGUAGUCCACGCCGUAAACGAUGGAUACUAGCUGUUGGGGGCAACUUCAGUGGCUAAGCGAAAGUGAUAAGUAUCCCACCUGGGGAGUACGUUCGCAAGAAUGAAACUCAAAGGAAUUGACGGGGGCCCGCACAAGCGGUGGAGCAUGUGGUUUAAUUCGAUGAUACGCGAGGAACCUUACCAAGGCUUAAAUGUAGUUUGACCGAUUUGGAAACAGAUUUUUCGCAAGACAAAUUACAAGGUGCUGCAUGGUUGUCGUCAGCUCGUGCCGUGAGGUGUCAGGUUAAGUCCUAUAACGAGCGCAACCCCUGUUGUUAGUUGCCAGCGAGUGAUGUCGGGAACUCUAACAAGACUGCCAGUGCAAACUGUGAGGAAGGUGGGGAUGACGUCAAAUCAUCACGGCCCUUACGCCUUGGGCUACACACGUGCUACAAUGGCCGGUACAGAGAGCAGCCACUGGGCGACCAGGAGCGAAUCUAUAAAACCGGUCACAGUUCGGAUCGGAGUCUGCAACUCGACUCCGUCCCGCGGGACAAGCUUGUAGAGGUGAUCCAGCCAUGAUCCGGUGAAUACGUUCCCGGGCCUUGUACACACCGCCCGUCAAGCCAUGGAAGCUGGGGGUGCCUGAAGUCGGUGACCGCAAGGAGCUGCCUAGGGUAAAAC
rnacentral:rRNA from 1 species